rnacentral:lncRNA from 1 species
AUCUAAGUCCCUAAGCCUCUCUAGGCUUCCAAAAAUCCCUAAUGUCACAUCUGGUAUAUAGUUUGAAUGCAUGAAAGCAAGGUUCGUUUUCAUAAUAGGGAUUAUAAUUUCAAGUCUCAACUAGAAUGCUAGGCCACACAUGCAUGCUCUCUACUAUAUAGAGGUCCCAAAAUUUACUACACAUAACCUAUGCAUGUUAAGCAUUCUAAAAUUCAUAAUAAAUACAUUUAACAUGAAAAUGCAAGAAUUUCAACUUUACGAAACAUUUAACACCAAAUAUGAGCAUUUCUCAUAUUGUAUGCUAGGCCAAACCCACCGAACCGUCGCGUGCUCCUUCGAUUCGUCGAACGGAGUUGUCCACGAGCCUCAAGAUACCCUAAAAGUGAUCAGCGAAGAGAUACGAGAGUAUUACGACCAACCAUGAGAUCAAACAUCAAUCUAGAAGCAAAUAGGGCCAAAAUUCACCUCAAGAGAAGAAAUCUCUUCUAAAGCUCCAAAAGAGAGCUAGAACCCUUCCAAUCCAAGCCCAAGGAAGGUUCUAAACCAAUCAAUCUAGCCCCAAAAGCCCUAGAUCAAAAAGCCCCAAAAAUCAACCCUAAUACCCAAAACUAGGGUUUCAUAUGGUAAAAUCUACCAAAUCAAGGAUCAAAGGGUAGAAUCCAAGUACUAACCUCCCAAGAUGCCUCCAAACAAGCUCCAAAUCUUCUAGGGUUGAAGAUUGGUCCACCACCAAGCUCUACAAGCAAGCUCCAAGCCUUGCAAAGGUGGAAAAGAGAGAAAGGGGUUGAGCUCCAAGCUCCCUCAAGCUAGCUCCUCUUCUUCUUCUCCUCCUUCUUCUUCUUCUUCUCUCUCUAGAAAGUGUAGGGAGAGGGUGAGAAUGAGAAAAUGAGAGAGGGAAGAGGAGGAAAUGGCUAAUAAGCCCAUCUAGUGUAACAAAAUCCGGAGAGGCCCCUCAAAAACUCAAAUUUACAUCAGCCCGAACUGGGCAGUUUUCGCCCAGAGGGACCGGUCUCUCCCCAGCAGGGACCGGUCUCUCGCUGCGAACCCGAAAAACCAGCGUUCGGGAACCGGUCUCUCCCUGUGCGGGACCGGUCUCUCACUGCGUAGACGCGCUCGGGGACCGGUCUCGCCCGCCAGGGACCGGUUGCCUCAGGGUUGCCGCAACACUGUUCACUGGGGGACCGGUCUCUCCUUCCAGGGACCGGUCUCCGAGAGUAAAAACUCUCAGGACCAAACCAAAACUCAGGUUUUCGAACUUUUCAGGUCGGAAAACAUUCUACAACCCUCCACCAAGUGUGGAAAAGUUCGAAAUACAUCCAAACACUCGAACCUCGCAAUUUGCAAAGGUCCAGUGUGUUACAUAACUAACCGAGUGCCAUUACACAAUCCUGCACUUUGGUUGAUAUUACGUAGUAACAUUAUUGGAGACCCUAUUUUCAAUUUAAGUUCAUGAUUAGGAACACCAUUGAACUUCAGAGAAUUUAAAAAGUCAACAGGAUAAAGAACAUCAUUAUCGUCAUUAUUUAUUGAUGAUUUACAAAUUGAAUCAGAACUCAUGUAAAUCUUCUCUUCAUUUGGCAACAAAGAAAGAACAUAUUUGUUUAUCUCAUCAGCUGUUUCAUUCAUUGGCGUAAUUAUAGCUCUAUCUCUUAAGUAUGUAACUUCACCGUAGUUUUCUUGGAUGUCCCCAUAUAUAGUAGAAACGAUAUCUUGAAUGCCAUCUCCACUAUUUUUUAUGAGCAAAUCAUCAGGUAUUUUUAUCCAAGAAGCUUCUUCUUCGUUGUCUAGUUUAAUUGCAUCUAAUUUACCAUCACCCAAGUCCAAUGUCCAUUUAGCAAAAUUUGCUAAGCUUUCUUUUGACACGUCAUUAAAUGGACUCUUUAGCAGCCUCAUAUUAGUAGACAAACGGAAGACUUUACAAUCAUUCCAAAUGUAUGACUUAGUGAUCGAUGCAUUAACUAUAUCUUGCCUUGACCUACUAACAAUGACAGGAAGUAUUUGCUGAAAAUCUCCUCCGAACACUAUAGUUUUACCGCCAAAUAACCGCUGGUCAGUUUUUCCAUCAUCUGAUUGUAAAAUAUCUCUCAAUGUUCUAUCUAAAGAUUCGAAACUGUUUCUGUGAUUCAUCGGCGCUUCAUCCCAUAUAAUCAAGCUAGUAUAAAAAAGCAAUUUUGCAAGUUGGGUCCUUUUUUCACUUCACAUGUUGAGUAAUCAUCCAAUUUUAUAGGAAUUUUAAAUCUUGAAUGAGCCAUGCGCUGUGACACCCUAAUAGUCCCACAUCGGAUGGGAAAGGAGUUGUCAUUCGGUUUAUAAGAGACUUAGACACUAGUAAUAAUAACUGGGCUUAAGCAUUUUGGGCCGGUGGUUGGGCCCAACGAGUUAUUAUUGCUAGUGGGCUGGGUCGUUACAUUUGGUAUCAGAGCCGGUUCACCAGCUGGACAUGUGUGGCGAGUCUCGGCUGAGCUAGGGCCUGGAUGACAGGCUAGCGAGACGAGNGGAUCACCACGCUACUCGACUCCAGUCAUUAACGGGUGACCCUUGAUAUCUAAUAUCAAGAGUGCGGGAGAAAAAGAGCUACAAAAAGUCUCGGAAGGUGAGUCCCACUCCGGUCCCUGGCGCCCUUCCCUCAACGAAGCUCGAUCGAAGGGAACUCCUGCUAAGCGAUCCACCAGAUGGAGAGCAACAUAAAAUAAAACUUCUCCAACUCUCAACAUGGGCAUGUACGUAUCUCUGGUGGUAAAAACAUGAUCUCUAACAAUGACAUGAUGAAUACCAAAGAAAUAAACUGAUCGAAAUAAUAGAUCGAAAUGAAACCACAUCUACAAUCGUGAAAUGAGCGAGACUAUAGUAAUCAACAACCAAUGAAGUGAGAAAGAUAAACAGGAUAAUGAACGAAAAUGAAGGCGAAAAUAAGAUCUGCGGAAUAUACACAUCUGUAUACCGCCCAGACCCGUGCGAUGGCCCUCCCGGAGGCGGCCAGGGCCCCGCACUGUCUAUACAUAGUUGUGACAGGUCAUACGUGAAACAAUCAUACAAAACCGUUCUAGAGCAUGCUUCUAUCAAUCUAAAAAUUCCUUUUUUGAAGUUUAUGGUGUACCCACCAAAGUAUGAAAAAGUAAAAUCAUGGAAUACCAAAUUCAUCAUAGUUCCCCAAAAGAAAAGGAGUAAGUAACGUAAUAGCAAUAAGCAAUAAAAAAAAAGAGCAUGUAAUAAACUGCUGAAAGAGAGAGCAUAAGUAAAAUGCUAUACUACUAUAUCCCUCAUAAGCACGAUGUCAAAAUGUUGUACAUCUAUUCUAUCAUAUGGAAAAGUAACCAAUAGCAAUAGUUUACUGUUACAACCCUUUAUUCAUACAUGAUGUAUAAGCUCUAUCAUGGCAACCAAGCAUACUGUGAUGGAAUAGGUAACUGUCAAGUAUACUACAUGUCUCAACCCUAGGCUACAUGCAUGUCAAUGUAAUCCAACUACUAAACCUGUCUAGUAGUGAUUGUUCAUUCUCAAACCGUGUUGAUUUCCAUUUUCAAUUAGGGACCUACCCAAGGUAGUCCAGCUUGUGCCGCCUAAGUGCCUGUGGUAGCCCAACAUCCCUACUCUUGGAAUGUGUCUGUCCCACUCGACCCCGUAGGCUUCUCAAUACUGCACGAGCGAACAAAAGUCGCGUAGGCUAACUCCGGAGUGCCGGCUUGUGGGGAGCGACCCGCACAAGCAUGUGCGAAUGAGCACAAAUGGCAAACAAGCAAGGUCACUGUCUCAAGUACCCAAUCCUCAUGUCUCUAACAUGGUAUAGUCGCUAGCAUCCCGAAGAUCUAGUUCAAAGUCAUAAUGUGAAGUCCCAACACACACUUGCUUAGUGCCUCUUUAUGACACUUAAGCUCCACAACUAAUCAUGUUCCCAUUAAGACAUUAACAUUAAUGCUCACUUUGCCCCGGGCCCCAAUGCCUCUUCAUGACAUUGGCUCAAUCUCACAUAUCAUCUAAGUCCCUAAGCCUCUCUAGGCUUCCAAAAAUCCCUAAUGUCACAUCUGGUAUAUAGUUUGAAUGCAUGAAAGCAAGGUUCAUUUUCAUAAUAGGGAUUAUAAUUUCAAGUCUCAACUAGAAUGCUAGGCCACACAUGCAUGCUCUCUACUAUAUAGAGGUCCCAAAAUUUACUACACAUAAUCUAUGCAUGUUAAGCAUUCUAAAAUCCAUAAUAAAUACAUUUAACAUGAAAAUGCAAGAAUUUCAACUUUGCGAAACAUUUAACACCAAAUAUGAACAUUUCUCAUAUUGUAUGC